GAUGAACGCUGGCGGCGUGCCUAAUACAUGCAAGUCGAGCGAACGGACGAGAAGCUUGCUUUUCUGAUGUUAGCGGCGGACGGGUGAGUAACACGUGGAUAACCUACCUAUAAGACUGGGAUAACUUCGGGAAACCGGAGCUAAUACCGGAUAAUAUUUUGAACCGCAUGGUUCAAAAGUGAAAGACGGUCUUACUGUCACUUAUAGAUGGAUCCGCGCUGCAUUAGCUAGUUGGUAAGGUAACGGCCCACCAAGGCAACGAUGCAUAGCCGACCUGAGAGGGUGAUCGGCCACACUGGAACUGAGACACGGUCCAGACUCCUACGGGAGGCAGCAGUAGGGAAUCUUCCGCAAUGGGCGAAAGCCUGACGGAGCAACGCCGCGUGAGUGAUGAAGGUCUUCGGAUCGUAAAACUCUGUUAUUAGGGAAGAACAUAUGUGUAAGUAACUGUGCACAUCUUGACGGUACCUAAUCAGAAAGCCACGGCUAACUACGUG
rnacentral:rRNA from 1 species